rnacentral:snRNA from 1 species
GGAUGUGAGGGUGAUGUGGUUGUGACAUUUGUCACCCAAUUGAUGACCAGUAUUGAUUUGACUGAUCUGGCUCGCUAGGCAAGUGUCCCCUUCCUUCCUCACUGCUCCAUGUGCAUCCCUCCCAAAGCUAUCCUCUGUCAAAGAGGAUGACCUUCCCCAAAUACAGACGGACUUGUCUCUGGCCAGGGUAUCUGAGAGUCGUUGUACUCCCCUGCUAGAUAGAACCUCCAAACAAGCUCUCUAGAGAAGGGGGUGGGGUUCAAGGGAAGACAGCAUAUUGUAAACACAUUUCCUGCCUGAAGUUCUGAAGUCCUAGG